rnacentral:sRNA from 1 species
GUGAAUUCUUUAUUCAUAAUAAGGGAGAGGAGGCAGAAGUGACUUCAGAGUGCACAGGGAGAAGACAGAGAUAAGGACCCAUGACAUUCACUUGGACAACAGGCAGCUAAUUAAGAUGCCCUUUAAAUGGUUCUAACUCAGGAGCAAAAAAUCCAAUCUAAGCAGCAGCUCAGACAAAUCUGGUGGAAAAAUAUUUAGAAGGUAGGAAAAACAUUAACGGACACUCUGCUGUGUAGUUUGUGAUAACAUGAAAAUUACCAAUUUGCUAAGAAACUCACUUUAAUCCAUUUGGAC